GUGUGUGUGUGUGUGUGUGUGUGUGUGUGUGUUACUUGUAUUUUAUCUGUCUCUAGAUAUGGCAAGAAGAUAGAGGAAUCCAUAGGGACCCUUCUGCCUCAAGUAGAACUAUAAAUUCUGAAACCUCAAGGAUUGAGGUGGAAGAGAGGACAGCAAGUCCCCAUGAGCUCGCCCCUAGCCUGUUCUUACAGUUGAAGCAAAGGAGACACACUUUUGGAGCACAGAUAGCUUGGACCUUAAUUUGCUCACAAGGAGUAUAGCCCUUUCCUCAGAAGAAUCUGAUUACUGCUUAGGCCCUGGCAGUAAUCUCAAUGUCCUUCAAAUAUGGAAACAUAGAGUUGAAGGAAGCCAGAGCAUUCUAGGAAAAAUUCAUUCUAAAAUGACUUCUGAUUAAGCCUUUGACACCUAAAGAGAUUGUCUAGUACAAAGAGCUCCAAGUGCCCUUGGUAGUGUACUCAGUAUUUGCCAGAAUGUGCUCAGUUUUUGCCGGGACCUGUUAGGCACAAGAUUCCUAUCCUUCUGCUUUCUAGGAGAGUGGACUACCACACCCUACAUGUGCCAUGUGUAUAACAUGUGUGGCUGGGAGAUGUUAUGCUACACCAUGCUUCUGUUUAGCUCAUGAACCCUUUCCUGGAUGGCUUCUUCAUGGGUGACAUCUUCUCUUUCCAGCUUGGUGACUCUAUCAUGGUUUAUUAGCAGCCAUGUUGUAUCUGAGCUAACCAGGAUGGGUGCUCAAAAAGCAAGACUGAGCUCACUACAAAAAGUUCAGGAGAUUUGAAGAGACCAGAGCAAGAGUGCAAAAAGCGAGCAUCUAAGAUGGAGCUUAGAGACUGGGCAGGCAGGGGAAAGGAAAGGGGGAGGCUCCAAUAUGGCCUGCAGGAAUUGGUCUGCUCUCUAACAGUUCCCAACCUGUCCCUGGAAUGUGGGGGCACCUGGGCACCUCCCACCCCUUCUGUUUGCUUUUCAUCCUCCUUGAUCAAGAUGCGUCUUUGGGAGUCCCAAACAUCUGGUGUUGGAAGGGAACCUUUGACGUCAACAGGAGAGUUUGUCUACUCAGGUGGAGCUAAUGUCCUCAGUGUGAGUUGGCAGACCUGUGCCAGGCAUGGGUUCAGGGAUAAGAAUGAGUGGAUUUGCAGAAAGUUGUCAAGAGGAUGGGCUGGAAGAUGCAGGGCAGUGAGGGGUUUCAGAUUUAGGAGACAACACGGCUCCUGGAACUGAGAACAAAAGACAUUGGACAGAAGCUUCUGCUUGAACCUGAUGGUCUAAACUCCUCCAGCCUUAUCUAGGAAUCAGAAGAAGACCAGAUGAAGAGACCACAGCUAGUCUGGAAACUUUACCCAAGUGAUAAGUGAACAUGAGCCAAACUUCAGGUGUAUGAAUUAGCAACCUGGGUUGGCCUAUCUUACUCUGUGAUAGAGCCAGGGAAACAAAUCAACCAGCAGAUUCUCUUUCCCAGCUCUCCUGACAACUGGAGCCUUCACCCAGCAGCUGGUAGAAGUAGAAGCAGACACCCACAGCUAAUCAC